GCAGUGCCUUUUCUAGAACGGUUCCAGUCACUUGGAUUAUAUGUAACUGGUUCCUUUCUGGGUGGAGUAAUAUC
rfam:Chlorocebus sabaeus isolate 1994-021 chromosome X, whole genome shotgun sequence.